CGAGUUGGAUGAGGGUUUAAUUUGAUGCAACGCGCAAAAUCUUAUAGGGCUUGACAUGCCGCGAAUCCUCUUAAAAAGAGGGGUGCCUUCGAGAACGCACAAAUAGGUUGUACAUGGCUGUCGUCAGCUAGUGCCGUAAGGUGUUGGGUUAAAUCUCGCAACGAGCAAAACCCUCAUAUUUAGUUGCCAUCGUUGUGUUUUGAACCCUGAACAUAGUGUUGAUGAUAUGAUAGAGGAAGGUGAGGAUGACAUCAAGUUAUCAUGCCCCUAAUGAUGUAGGUGAUACACGUGCUACAAUGGCGGGGGAAAAGGGUCGCGACCCCGCACGGUGAGCUACCCAAAAAAUCCAUCCUCAGUUGGAAUUGCAUGCUGCAACUCGCCUGCAUGAAGCCGAAAUUACUAGUAAUCGCCAAUCAUCUAUACAACAGUUAAUUCG
rnacentral:ncRNA from 1 species